GGGAUUGCGGAGGCGGUGGCUCUCACCGUUGGUCCUCCGCCCCCAGCUCGGGAUGAGGCUUAGGCAGCGUCCUUUCCAGCGAGGAGAGAUUCUUCUGUUUUUAUCACCCUAUCACCAGUCUCUCUCCACCCUAGAUGUGAGGAAAUCCACAAUACUUAUUAAAAAUAAGAUAUCCCUGAAACUGCCAGAUGUGUAAUAAUGAUCAACAUCUAACUAGAGACAACUAAAAGUUGGAAAAAAUGAAUAGCAGUUGAUAAUUUCACCAAAGUUUGCAACACCAGAAAUGCAGUAGAAAAAUCAUGCAGCCCUCUUCAUAAAAUGUCUAAUCUAUUAACCUGCAUUACUUCCAAAGGAGGGAUUUUAAAAGCUCUUUUUAAAGAUGACGUAUAUUCAGUUUCCAUAAAGUGCCAUCAUUUUAAAAAAUUGCUGGUAAUUAACAAGGUAAACAGGAUUUUGGUGAAUAAUUACAGUGACCCAGUAUUUUAAAUAUUGAUACUAGAGUGACAAAUGUCUGCUGAAUUGAAAGCUAAAUUGGCAUUCAAAUUAAAAUGACUUUCCUUCAUUUCAUCUUCACUUACCCAGAGGAAUAGCUUCCAUGUCUAUAUUUAGGUCAUUAAUUUAGAACUCAAAAAUAUGAAAGUAUAGAUACCCAGAGUGUUUUCAAGGUUGCUAAUCAUAUUUCCCUGGCUGCUUCCCUCUUCGGUGACCCCAGCCUUAUAAACCGCUGCUACACUUAGUUUGCACUCACUGUUAGCCCUUAAUCACAUCAUCCCAAAGUGUUCAGGUUUGUUUCGUAUAGGUCAGUCUUACCUCUCUAAUUAGAUCAUCAGUUCCAUGAGGAUAAGGUCCUUAUUUUACAGUCCUCUUUCCUCCUUUUAUAAUGCCUAGUACAGUGCUGAGCAUGUGGUAAAUAUGAUUCUAUU